UGUUCCCUGUCGGAUCAGCUUGCUACUGCUGCGCCCAACUGCAUGCAAGGCUUCAGUAUUAGCGUCGUUGCCGCUGUUUUUAAUUAUUUUGGGGUCCCCUGUUUCUCGUCCUGGAGGCGCAGAUUUUGUGAAAUCCCUCCGCUCCACUAGUCACGGAACCAGGCUGGACCAGACCUUAAACCGCUGACAAAUUUCUAUUCUUCCAUUCCAGGGACGUAAAAAAAUACAGAGAAGAUCUGAAAAAGGAUCAGUGUCGAUUGGAGGACUGGGAAAGUAUGACCCUGGAAAGAAAAAGUGAUAACCAUUCAAACUUAUGUGUAAAGACAGGGAAAGUUCAAAGAGAUAAAGAAAGAAAAUUUGCACCUGAGUUUCAGAAUAAUUAUAUUUCUGCAAGCUUUAUGAUUAGCUUUUUCUUGGUACUGCAAAAAAAAAAAAAAAAAGAGAGAGAAAAAUAAGAAAAGAAAAAAAAAGAAAAGAAAAGAAAAGAAAAGAAAAGAAAAGAAAAGAAGAGAAGAGAAGAGAAGAGAAGAGAAGAGAAGAGAAGAGAAGAGAAGAGAAGAGAAGAUAAAAGGUUAAUUUCGAAUGUGUACUCCUUUCAUUCUAAGUCAACAACAACAACAAAAUCUAUUUGAAAGGGCUAUUAAGAGGUCAUGGAGGCAAUAUUCUGCUGAAAGAGAAUUAACAGCAGUGGAACCAUAAAGCUGCUGCUCCUCCAGAGGAAGACAAGACUUUGAAAAUCACCUUGAAACUCAAUAAUAAAGAAAGGAGAGUAGAUAUCAAGAAGCUACAGUAUUCUGAGAAAUAAAAAGUGAUACUUUGUCCUUUGGUGAUGGUGGUAUGGCAGACAAGUGAAUGACAUUUUCUUUACCAUGGGCUACUAGAGACAGAAGAAAGGAUCUCUGCCCACCACUCUUCUGAGAAGCCACCCAAAUUAACUUAAUUCUGGUCAUUCAUGGUCAUUCAAGAGAAUAACUCCUAUCUCAUCUUAUCCCUCUGUGCUGCUUAAUAACAAAGGAUUAUGGAAUAAAUCCUGGAAUUCUGGCAUUUAACCCAAAAGACAUAAUAUGCUUAUUAUCUUACAGAAAGAUUUUUUUGUUUUUGUUUUUGUUUUGAGAACUGGCUGGAGUGGUCCAAAAUCAAAAAAUGAGGGUAACAGGUAGAACUGAGUAUCAGUGAUUCAAUACUCAGUCUACUUCAUCCUUUUUAUUUAAGAGUAUGUAUGCAUUCAGUAUUGUUCCUGAAGCUAUGAGAGAAAGAAAAAAAAUUAAUGAAAACUGUCUUCAUGAUUCAGUUUUUGACUUUUCCUGUAAAAUUUAUCUUCUCCAUCUACAUUUCAAAAAGGGGUUUAGAUAUGAUGACACACAGAGCUACAGUAUUUAAAUCUAGGGGCUGAUUUUCAAGAGCAGUAUUCACUAUGCAGUGUUUCUAACGUCUGAGAUAAUUAUAUUUUUUGGAAGAAGAGCACACAUGAAUGACACAAAAUCCAUCAUGUUCACAGAUGUCAAUUAGUCAAUAGAAAAAAAGACAAAAUGAAAAUGUAACUUCCACUUUUUCAGGUAUAUGGAAUUUUUUAACCCUUGUAAGAGGCAGAAUCCUUUUUGAUGUUAGUAAGAAUCCAGUUUCAUGAAUAUUUAUCUUAAGAAAAAUAUAAAACAAAGCAUUUGGGGUGUGGAAAGCUUUCAAAGUGUGAUCUUAUUCAUAAGACACAUAUCUAUGUUGAUUUUCAGAGAUUCUGAGCUGCUUCUAAUGAGUUUAAUGAUAUCUGUUGCUUCUGCAAUGAACAUGGGAGGUGUGAGUACAUACCUGUCUGUGGGUGAAGGAGAAAAGGGUUAAGUCAUCAUUCAUUCCUUGGAAUAAAGGAAGUCAUUUUAAAAUUUUCUGACAAGCCAAAAGUUGAAUGAUAGGCCUGAACCUGCCUAUUGAAAUGAAGAGUUCAACAGAAAUGCAGUCUUUCAUCAUCAUGAAAGAAAAAGAGGUUAUGAAAAAUUAUUUAUUGCUGCUAUGUUAUAGAAUCAUAGAUUCAUAGAAUAGCUUGGGUUGGAAGGGACCUUAAAGAGUAUUUAGUUGCAAGCACCCUGCUGUGGGCAGGUUUCCCAACAGGUGGUCCACAAUCCCAUCCAGCCUGACUUUGAACACCUCCAGGGAUGGGGCAUCCACAGCCUCUCUGGACAGUCUGUUCCAGUGGCUCACCGCCCUCUGAGUAAAAAAAAUCUCUUCCUAACAUCCAAUCAAAAUUUUCCCUCUUUAGUUUAAAACCAUUCCUCUUUGUCCUACCACUAUCUGACCAUGCAAAAAGUCAGCCAUGUUUCUUUGAUUCUGGGAAUUUAUGCAUUAUAUGUUAUAUGACAUUAAUUAUCAGUUUUGGAAGCCUGUCUUAAUGUUUGAAACAAAAAGAAAAUCUACUCACCUAGCCUCUGUAUUUCCCAAACUAAGGAAUACAUUAGAAAAGACACAAGAUUCUGUGAAAAACAGGAUGCAGAUGGGCAUCCCUGCUUCCUCUUAUCUGCUGGCAAGGCCCGGAAGAUGAUAACAAAGGAAUUUCUGCUGAGAUCCCAGAGGCAGUAGCUGCCACUCCAAGGAGAGCUGACUCAACCACUUUGGAUUCGAGCUGUCACUCAAAAGAGAGCUGACUCGACCACUUUGGACUUAUAAAUAAGUUUGUACUGCCAUCGUUGUCGUCAUCGCUGUGGUCACCAUUGUCAACAGAACACCAGAUGACCCACCACUACUGAAGAUCAAUGACUGAACUACGAACCACGUUGGACCAUGGUGGUGACUAUCUCCCUCCUGCUUCCUAUACGGACUCCUUGCUCCUAUUUCCUAUCUUUUCUAUCGCCCUUCUCCCCUUCCCCAUCUCCCUGAACGACUAGGAUUUGUAAUACACUGGUCAGACCAACAUUUGAACCGUUGUUUGUUAAUCUCAUGCCAGGUAUACACACAUCAAAGAACCUCAUCUCCCUCCGAUAAAUUGGAGAGAGACAAUCAUUUUAUGCUUUUACAGUAUCACAUUAAAAUAAAACAAAAGAAAACUUAUACUGUAUGGAAUGCUGAGGAUAGUCACAAAUAGUCUAUUUGUACUGGCUAGAAAUAAUAAAUACAGUAUUUCU
ensembl:lncRNA